AGAGUGAACGCUGGCGGUAGGCCUAACACAUGCAAGUCGAACGGCAGCACAGUGGUAGCAAUACCAUGGGUGGCGAGUGGCGGACGGGUGAGGAAUACAUCGGAAUCUACCUUUUCGUGGGGGAUAACGUAGGGAAACUUACGCUAAUACCGCAUACGCCCUUCGGGGGAAAGCCGGGGAUCGCAAGACCUGGCGCGGAUAGAUGAGCCGAUGUCGGAUUAGCUAGUUGGUGAGGUAAUGGCUCACCAAGGCGACGAUCCGUAGCUGGUCUGAGAGGAUGAUCAGCCACACUGGAACUGAGACACGGUCCAGACUCCUACGGGAGCAGCAGUGGGGAAUAUUGGACAAUGGGCGACAACGCCUAGACUCCACG
rnacentral:rRNA from 1 species